CUGGGAGGUGCGGGCCGAGCGGCUCAGUGCGCCCGCGGCCGGCCGAGGGAGCCGCUCCUCCUGUCCCCGGCCCGCGUCCCAUCCCCCGGUCCCCGCGCCCCGGUGCCCGGGUCGGUCCCCGUCCGGGUCGCCCGGUCCCGGCGCUCGGGCCGGCAGUCCCAUCGCCGUGCCCCCCGGCCCCCGGUCCUCGUCAGUCGUCACUCAGGCCCCGUCCCGGUCACCAGACCGGCGUGCUCGUUCCCGUCCCGCCUCCCGGGCCGGUCACCUGGGCCCCGUCACCGGGUCCCCGUCCCCUGCUCCCCGGCCAAGCGGCUCCGGCGCCGCGGCGGGGCCGAGCGCAGCCAGGCGGGCCCCCUGUCCCCUCUGUGCACCCUCUUCCGACCUCGGGACCGCGCUGCUCCCCUCCUUCGUCCUCAGCUCCGUCCCUCCCGUCCCUCCCGUCCCUCCCGUCGCUCCCUUCCCUCCGACCUCUGGGCGCCCUGUCCCCUCAGGACCCUCUGUUCCCCCCGACCGCCUCCAUCUCCUCUGACCCUUCUCUGUCCCCCGACCUUCGUCCUCCGCUGUCCCCUGUCCAUCUUCUGUCCCGCCCCGUCAGUCUUCUGUCCACCGCCCCCCAUUCUCUGUCCAUUUCCUGUCCCCCCAUCAAUCUUCUGUCCACCGCCACCCAUCUUCUGUCCCCCCGGUCAAUCUUCUGUCCACCGCCCCCCCAUCUUCUGUCCCCCAUCCAUCUUCUGUCCCCCCGUCCAUCUUCUGUCCCCCCGUCCAUCUUCUGUCCCUGCUGCCCCCAUUCUCCUGCCCCCCGUCCAUCUUCUGUCUCCGCUGCCCCCAUUCUCCUGUCCCCCGUCCAUCUUCUGUCCCCCGUCCAUCUUCUGUCCCCCCCGUCAAUCAUCUGUCCACCGCCCCCAUUCUCCUCUGUCCCCCGUCCAUCUUCUGUCCCCGCUGCCCCCAUUCUCCUCUGUCCCCCGUCCAUCUUCUGUCUCCGCUGCCCCCAUUCUCCUGCCCCCCGUCCAUCUUCUGUCCCCCCCUGUCAAUCAUCUGUCCACCGCCCCCAUCCUCUGUCCCCCGUCCAUCUUCUGUCCCCGCUGCCCCCAUUCUCCUCUGUCCCCCGUCCAUCUUGUCUCCGCUGCCCCCAUUCUCCUGUCCCCCGUCCAGCUUCUGUCCCCCCCGUCAAUCAUCUGUCCACCGCCCCCAUCCUCUGUCCCCCCGUCCAUCUUCUGUCCACCGCCCCCAUCCUCUGUCCCCCCCGUCAAUCAUCUGUCCACCGCCACCCAUCUUCUGUCCCCCCCGUCAAUCAUCUGUCCACCACCCCCCAUCCUCUGUCCCCCGUCCAUCUUCUGUCCCCCGUCCAGCUUCUGUCCCCGCUGCCCCCAUUCUCCUGCCCCCCGUCCAUCUUCUGUCCCCCAUCCAUCUUCUGUCCCCCCUCGUCAAUCUUCUGUCCACCACACCCCCCCCCGUGUCCUUCAUCCGUCUUCUGUCUCCGCUGCCCCCAUUCUCCUCUGUCCCCCCCCGUCCAUCUUCCUGUCCCCCCGUCCAUCUUCUGUCCACCACCCCCAUCCUCUGUCCCCCCGUCCAUCUUCUGUCCCCCCGUCCAUCUUCUGUCUCCGCUGCCCCCAUUCUCCUCUGUCCCCCCGUCCAUCUUCUGUCUCCGCUGCCCCCAUUCUCCUCUGUCCCCUGUCCAUCUUCUGUCUCCGCUGCCCCCAUUCUCCUCUGUCCCCCGUCCAUCUUCUGUCCCCCCGUCCAUCUUCUGUCCCCCCCUGUCAAUCAUCUGUCCACCGCCCCCAUCCUCUGUCCCCCUGUCCAUCUUCUGUCCACCGCCCCCCAUCCUCUGUCCCCCCCCGUCCAUCCUCUGUCCCCCGUCCACCUUCUGUCCCCCCCCGUCAAUCAUCUGUCCACCACCCCCCAUCCUCUGUCCCCCGUCCAUCUUCUGUCCCCCGUCCAUCUUCUGUCCCCGCUGCCCCCAUUCCUCCUCUGUCCCCCUCCAUCUUCUGUCCCCCAUCCAUCUUCUGUCCCCCCUCGUCAAUCUUCUGUCCACCACACCCCCCCCGUGUCCUUCAUCCGUCUUCUGUCUCCGCUGCCCCCCAUUCUCCUCUGUCCCCCCCGUCCAUCUUCUGUCCCCCCCGUCAAUUCAUCUGUCCACCACCCCCCAUCCUCUGUCCCCCAUCCAUCUUCUGUCCCCCGUCCAUCUUCUGUCCCCGCUGCCCCCAUUCUCCUCUGUCCCCCGUUCCAUCUUCUGUCUCCGCUGCCCCCAUUCUCCUCUGUUCCCCCGUCCAUCUUCUGUCCUCCGCUGCCCCCAUUCUCCUCUGCCCCCAUUCUCCUGUCCCCCAUCCAUCUUCUGUCCCCCCCUGUCAAUCAUCUGUCCACUGCCCCCAUCCUCUGUCCCCCGUCCACCUUCUGUCCCCCGUCCAUCUUCCUGUCCCCGCUGCCCCCAUUCUCCUCUGUCCCCUGUCCAUCUUCUGUCUCCGCUGCCCCCAUUCUCCUCUGUCCCCCCCCGUCAAUCAUCUGUCCCCCCCGUCAAUCAUCUGUCCACUGCCCCCAUCCUCUUGUCCCCCGUCCAUCCUCUGUCCCCCCCGUCAUCAUCUGUCCACCGCCCCCAUUCUCUGUCCCCCCGUCAUCUUCUGUCCCCCGUCCAUCUUGUCUCCGCUGCCCCCUUCUCCUCUGUCCCCCGUCCAUCUUCUGUCCCUGCUGCCCCCAUUCUCCUCUGUCCCCCCCGUCAUCAUCUGUCCACCGCCCCCCAUCCUCUGUCCCCCGGCCAUCUUCUGUCCCCGCUGGCCCCCAUUCCUCCUCUGUCCCCCCGUCCAUCUUCUGUCCCCCCGUCCAUCUUGUCUCCGCUGCCCCCAGUCUCCUCUGUCCCCCUGUCCAUCUUCUGUCCCCCGUCCAUCUUCUGUCUCCGCUGCCCCCAUUCUCCUCUGUCCCCCGUUCCAUCUUCUGUUCCCCCCCGUCAAUCAUCUGUCCACCGCCCCCCAUCCUCUGUCCCCCGUCAAUCUUCUGUCUCCGCUGCCCCCAUUCCUCCUCUGUCCCCCGUCCAUCUUCUGUCCCCCGUCCAUCUUGUCUCCGCUGCCCCCAUUCUCCUCUGCCCCCAUUCUCCUCUGUCCCCCCCGUCCAUCUUCUGUCCUCCGCUGCCCCCAUUCUCCUCUGUCCCCCCGUCCAUCUUCUGUCCCCCCCGUCAAUCAUCUGUCCACCGCCCCCCAUCCUCUGUUCCCCCGUCCAUCUUCUGUCUCCGCUGCCCCCAUUCUCCUCUGUCCCCCGUCCAUCUUCUGUCUCUGCUGCCCCCAUUCUCUUCUGUCUCCCGUCCAUCUUCUGUCCCCCCCGUCAAUCAUCUGUCCACCGCCCCCCAUCCUCUGUCCCCCGUCCAUUCUUCUGUCCCCGCUGCCCCCAUUCUCCUCUGGUCCCCUGUCCAUCUUCUGUCCCCGCUGCCCCCAUUCUCCUCUGUCCCCCGUCCAUCUUCUGUCCCCGCUGCCCCCAUUCUCCUCUGUCCCCCGUCCAUCUUCUGUCUCCGCUUGCCCCCAUUCUCCUCUGUCCCCUGUCCAUCUUCUGUCCCCCCCGUCAAUCUUCUGUCCACCACACCCCCCCCGUGUCCUUCAUCCGUCUUCUGUCUCCCCUGCCCCCAUUCUCCUCUGUCCCCUGUCCAUCUUCUGUCCCCCCCGUCAAUCUUCUGUCCACCGCCUCCCAUCCUGUUCCCUGUCCAUCUUCUGUCCCCCCCCCCGUCAAUCUUCUGUCCACCACACCCCCCUGUGUCCUUCAUCCACCUUCUGUCCCCGCUGCCCCCAUUCUCCUCUGUCCCCUGUCCAUCUUCUGUCUCCGCUGCCCCCAUUCUCCUCUGUCCCCCGUCCAUCUUCUGUCCCCGCUGCCCCCAUUCUCCUCUGUCCCCUGUCCAUCUUCUGUCCCCCCCGUCAAUCUUCUGUCCACCACACCCCCCCCCCCCCGUCAAUCAUCUGUCCACCGCCCCCCAUCCUCUGUCCCCCGUCCAUCUUCUGUCUCCGCUGCCCCCAUUCUCCUCUGUCCCCCGUCCACCUUCUGUCCCCCCCGUCAAUCAUCUGUCCACCGCCCCCCAUCCUCUGUCCCCCUCCAUCUUCUGUCUCCGCUGCCCCCAUUCUCCUCUGUCCCCCGUCCAUCUUCUGUCUCCCCUGCCCCCAUUCUCCUCUGUCCCCUGUCCAUCUUCUGUCUCCCCUGCCCCCAUUCUCCUCUGUCCCCCGUCCAUCUUCUGUUCCCCUUGUCUCUGCCUCAUCCCGCUCAGGCCUCAGGCCCAUAGUGCUGGUGACUCCUGGUUGUGUCGUGAGGGUCUGGAAGGCCUGAGUGCUGGGUGCGAAUCGGAGUCCCCCCUUGUGACUCCUUGUCUAGCACACACAUCUGUACGCCUGGGAAACCUGGAAUUGCAGGAAAAGGGUCAAAAUACCUAGAAGGCCGAUGUUGGAUCUGCUGUCUUUGAGGGGGAUAGUUUAGGAUAACACUCGGAUUCUGUGAGAAAGAAUUUGGCCUUAAAAAAAAGAAAUGCCUCGAGGUGCCUGGUGGUGCAGUCGGUUUAGCGUCCGACGUCGGCUCCGGUCGUGAUCUCACAGUUGGUGGGUUCGAACCCUGCAUUGGGCUCUGCGCUGACAGCUCAGAGCCUGGAGCUGCUUCGGAUUCUGUCUCUCCCUCUCCCUCUGCUUCUCCCCACUCACGCUCUGUCUCUCUCUCUCUGUUUCUCAAAAAUAAAUAAAAGUUAAAAAAAAAAAAAGAGAGAGAU
ensembl:lncRNA